rnacentral:misc_RNA from 1 species
UUUCCGUAGGUGAACCUGCGGAAGGAUCAUUAUUGAAUGAAACACUUCUGGCCUUAUGCUGUUGUGCUGGCCCUUUGGGCAAUGCGCACACGGCUCUGGUCACUUGUUUCUUCUGUUCCACCUGUGCACUGCCUGUAGACACGCUGUGUCUAUGAUAUUUGUUAACACACAACAAUGUUAGUUGGCAUGUUAUAUAUAAUAAUAAAUAUACAACUUUCAACAACGGAUCUCUUGGCUCUC